AUUGAACGCUGGCGGCAUGCUUUACACAUGCAAGUCGAACGGUAACAGGCCGCAAGGUGCUGACGAGUGGCGAACGGGGGAGUAAUGCAUCGGAACGUGCCCAGUCGUGGGGGAUAACUACUCGAAAGAGUAGCUAAUACCGCAUACGAUCUAUGGAUGAAAGCGGGGGACCGUAAGGCCUCGCGCGAUUGGAGCGGCCGAUGUCAGAUUAGGUAGUUGGUGGGGUAAAGGCCCACCAAGCCAACGAUCUGUAGCUGGUCUGAGAGGACGACCAGCCACACUGGGACUGAGACACGGCCCAGACUCCUACGGGAGGCAGCAGUGGGGAAUUUUGGACAAUGGGCGCAAGCCUGAUCCAGCAAUGCCGCGUGCAGGAAGAAGGCCUUCGGGUUGUAAACUGCUUUUGUACGGAACGAAACGGCUCUGGUUAAUACCCGGGGCUAAUGACGGUACCGUAAGAAUAAGCACCGGCUAACUACGUG
rnacentral:rRNA from 1 species